rnacentral:rRNA from 1 species
UACGUAGGGUGCAAGCGUUUGUCCGGAAUUAUUGGGCGUAAAGAGCUCGUAGGCGGUUUGUCGCGUCUGCUGUGAAAACUCGGGGCUUAACCCCGGGCCUGCAGUGGGUACGGGCAGACUAGAGUGCGGCAGGGGAGACUGGAAUUCCUGGUGUAGCGGUGAAAUGCGCAGAUAUCAGGAGGAACACCGGUGGCGAAGGCGGAUCUCUGGGCCGUAACUGACGCUGAGGAGCGAAAGCAUGGGGAGCGAACAGG